rnacentral:rRNA from 1 species
CCCUUAGAUGUUCUGGGCCGCACACGCGCUACACUGAAGGAGGCAGCGUGUACUCCUGGAUCGAAAGAUUUGGGUAACCCGCGAAUCUCCUUCGUGCUAGGGAUUGAGGUUUGCAAUUAUCCUUCAUGAACGAGGAAUUCCCAGUAAGUGCAAGUCCUAAGCUUGCGCUGACUACGUCCCUGCCCUUUGUACACACCGCCCGUCGCUACUACCGAUUGAAUGAUUUAGUGAGGACUUCGGACUGGGACCGAUGCGGCUUUCGGGCUGCGUCGGUAUUCUGGAAAGAUGUCCAAACUGUAUCAUUUAGAGGAAGUAAAAGUCGUAACA